rnacentral:rRNA from 1 species
UCGGGAAUUUUGGGCAAUGGGCGAAAGCCUGACCCAGCAACGCCGCGUGAAGGAUGAAGUCUCUCGGGAUGUAAACUUCGUAAGAAUAGGAAGAAUAAAUGACGGUACUAUUUGUAAGGUCCGGCUAACUACGUGUCAGCAGCCGCGGUAAUACGUAGGGACCAAGCGUUGUUCGGAUUUACUGGGCGUAAAGGGCGCGUAGGCGGCGUGGUAAGUCACUUGUGAAAUCUCCGAGCUUAACUCGGAACGGUCAAGUGAUACUGCUGUGCUAGAGUACAGAAGGGGCAAUCGGAAUUCUUGGUGUAGCGGUGAAAUGCGUAGAUAUCAAGAGGAACACCUGAGGUGAAGACGGGUUGCUGGGCUGACACUGACGCUGAGGCGCAAAAGCCAGGGGAGCAAACGGGAUUAGAUACCCCGGUAGUCCCUGAGCGGGCUGGCAAGGCGCAU